rnacentral:rRNA from 1 species
GAUGAACGCUAGCGGCAGGCUUAACACAUGCAAGUCGAACGGUAACAUUGGUGCUUGCACCAGAUGACGAGUGGCGCACGGGUGCGUAACGCGUAUGCAAUCUACCUUUUACUGGAGAAUAGCCCAGAGAAAUUUGGAAUAAUCCUCCAUAAUAUCAAUUUUUCGCAUGUUAAAUUGAUUAAAGCUCCGGCGGUAAAAGAUGAGCAUGCGUUCUAUUAGCUAGUAGGUGAGGUAACGGCUCACCUAGGCAACGAUAGAUAGGGGUCCUGAGAGGGAGAUCCCCCACACUGGUACUGAGACACGGACCAGACUCCUACGGGAGGCAGCAGUGAGGAAUAUUGGACAAUGGAGGCAACUCUGAUCCAGCCAUGCCGCGUGCAGGAUGACUGCCCUAUGGGUUGUAAACUGCUUUUAUAUAGGAAGAAACACUCCCACGUGUGGGGGCUUGACGGUACUAUAUGAAUAAGGAUCGGCUAACUCCG